rnacentral:tRNA from 1 species
UGCGCGGUAGCUCAGCUGGUAGUAGCAGAGAGCUGUUAACUCUCGGGUCGCAGGUUCGAGCCCUGCCCGCGCAGCUA